AUAGUACUCUCCUCCGUCCCAAAAUUUUGUUUUAGUGUUGUCUAGAUAUAAAUGUAUCUAGUCACGUUUUAGUAUUUAGAUAUAUCUAUUUCUAGACAAAUCUAAGACAAGAAUUUUGGGACGGAGGGAGUAUUAU
rnacentral:pre_miRNA from 1 species